UGGAUUAGUGGCGAACGGGUGAGUAACACGUGGGCAAUCUGCCCUUCACUCUGGGACAAGCCCUGGAAACGGGGUCUAAUACCGGAUAACACUCUGUCCCGCAUGGGACGGGGUUGAAAGCUCCGGCGGUGAAGGAUGAGCCCGCGGCCUAUCAGCUUGUUGGUGGGGUAAUGGCCUACCAAGGCGACGACGGGUAGCCGGCCUGAGAGGGCGACCGGCCACACUGGGACUGAGACACGGCCCAGACUCCUACGGGAGGCAGCAGUGGGGAAUAUUGCACAAUGGGCGAAAGCCUGAUGCAGCGACGCCGCGUGAGGGAUGACGGCCUUCGGGUUGUAAACCUCUUUCAGCAGGGAAGAAGCGAAAGUGACGGUACCUGCAGAAGAAGCGCCGGCUAACUACGUGCCAGCAGCCGCGGUAAUACGUAGGGCGCAAGCGUUGUCCGGAAUUAUUGGGCGUAAAGAGCUCGUAGGCGGCUUGUCACGUCGGAUGUGAAAGCCCGGGGCUUAACCCCGGGUCUGCAUUCGAUACGGGCUAGCUAGAGUGUGGUAGGGGAGAU
rnacentral:rRNA from 1 species